GAUGAAGAACGCAGCGAAAUGCGAUAAGUAAUGCGAAUUGCAGAAUUCCGUGAGUCAUCGAAUCUUUGAACGCACAUUGCGCCCUUUGGUAUUCCGAAGGGCAUGCCUGUUCGAGCGUCAUUAUCAACCCUCAAGCCCGGCUUGCGGUUGGGUCCCGCCGUGGGCGGCCACGGCGGACCUGAAAGGUAAUGGCGGCGCCCGCGGGGCCCUGGAUGCAACGAGCUUCCAGCACGCGUCCACGCGGUCCCCGGCGUCGUCUCCAUCAGUCCACCUCGCAGAUUGACCUCGGAUCAGGUAGGAAUACCCGCUGAACUUAAGCAUAUCAAUAAGCGGAGGGA
rnacentral:misc_RNA from 1 species